UACAGAGGGGGCAAGCGUUGUUCGGAAUUACUGGGCGUAAAGGGCGCGUAGGCGGCCUGCUAAGUCGAACGUGAAAUCCCCGGGCUCAACCCGGGAACUGCGUCCGAUACUGGCAGGCUUGAAUCCGGGAGAGGGAUGCGGAAUUCCAGGUGUAGCGGUGAAAUGCGUAGAUAUCUGGAGGAACACCGGUGGCGAAGGCGGCAUCCUGGACCGGCAUUGACGCUGAGGCGCGAAAGCCAGGGGAGCGAACGGG
rnacentral:rRNA from 1 species